rnacentral:rRNA from 1 species
AUUGAACGCUGGCGGCAUGCCUUACACAUGCAAGUCGAACGGUAACAGGUUAAGCUGACGAGUGGCGAACGGGUGAGUAAUAUAUCGGAACGUGCCCAGUCGUGGGGGAUAACGUAGCGAAAGCUACGCUAAUACCGCAUACGAUCUACGGAUGAAAGCGGGGGAUCGCAAGACCUCGCGCGAUUGGAGCGGCCGAUAUCAGAUUAGGUUGUUGGUGAGGUAAAAGCUCACCAAGCCUGCGAUCUGUAGCUGGUCUGAUAGGACGACCAGCCACACUGGGACGGAGACACGGUCCAGACUCCUACGGGGGGCAGCAGUGGGGAAUUUUGGACAAUGGACGCAAGUCUGAUCCAGCAAUGCCGCGUGCAGGACGAAGGCCUUCGGGUUGUAAACUGCUUUUGUACGGAACGAAACGGUGAGCUCUAAUACAGUUUGCUAAUGACGGUACCGUAAGAAUAAGCACCGGCUAACUACGUGCCAGCAGCCGCCGUAA